GACGAGGUUGCCGAGUGGUUAAGGCGAUGGACUGCUAAUCCAUUGUGCUCUGCACGCGUGGGUUCGAAUCCAUUCCUCAUCG
rfam:Ciona savignyi cont_4938, whole genome shotgun sequence.